rnacentral:rRNA from 1 species
CAAUAGCGUAUAUUAAAGUUGUUGCAGUUAAAAAGCUCGUAGUUGGAUUUCCGGCGUGAGGGAUCAGUCUGACUUCUAGUCAGUACUUGGUCCUCUCAUGCCGUCCUUGAAUGGUGCAUCCUGGCAUUAAGUUGUCGGGGUGAGAGCCGUUCAUCGUUUACUGUGAGAAAAUUAGAGUGUUCAAAGCAGGCUUAUGCCGUUGAAUAUAUUAGCAUGGAAUAAUAAGAUAGGACUUUGGUACUAUUUUGUUGGUUUGAGAACCAAGGUAAUGAUCAAUAGGGACAGUUGGGGGUAUUCGUAUUCAGUUGUCAGAGGUGAAAUUCUUAGAUUUCCGGAAGACGAACUACUGCGAAAGCAUUUACCAAGGAUGUUUUUCAUUUAGUACUACGAAACGAAAACGGUAAAGUUUAGGGGGGGAAUUCCGGAAAAGGACGUAGUUAAGUACUAACCGGUACUUACCGGUACGUACGUAGGACCCUAA